rnacentral:rRNA from 1 species
UACGUAGGGCGCAAGCGUUGUCCGGAAUUAUUGGGCGUAAAGAGCUCGUAGGCGGCUUGUCGCGUCGACCGUGAAAACUCACAGCUCAACUGUGAGCUUGCGGUCGAUACGGGCAGGCUCGAGUUCGGUAGGGGAGACUGGAACUCCUGGUGUAGCGGUGAAAUGCGCAGAUAUCAGGAGGAACACCGGUGGCGAAGGCGGGUCUCUGGGCCGAUACUGACGCUGAGGAGCGAAAGCGUGGGGAGCGAACAGG